rnacentral:rRNA from 1 species
CCUACGGGAGGCAGCAGUGGGGAAUAUUGCGCAAUGGGCGAAAGCCUGACGCAGCGACGCCGCGUGAGGGAUGAAGGUCUUCGGAUCGUAAACCUCUGUCAGCAGGGAAGAACGGUCACUGUGCUAAUCAGCAGUGAAUUGACGGUACCUGCAAAGGAAGCACCGGCUAACUCCGUGCCAGCAGCCGCGGUAAUACGGAGGGUGCGAGCGUUAAUCGGAAUUACUGGGCGUAAAGCGCUCGUAGGCGGUAUGUCAAGUCAAGGGUGAAAUCCCCGCGCUCAACGUGGGAACUGCCUUUGAAACGGGCAAACUGGAGUGUGUGAGAGGUUAGUGGAAUUCCAGGUGUAGGAGUGAAAUGCGUAGAUAUCUGGAGGAACAUCAGUGGCGAAGGCGACUAUCUGGCACAUAACUGACGCUGAGGAGCGAAAGCGUGGGUAGCAAACAGGAUUAGAUACCCUUGUAGUC